UGCUCCUAGAUAUGAAAACAGAUCUGAACUUACUGCUUGAAUGCCUUAAAUAUCAGAUGGACUGCCCUCUGUCUCAGAAGGAGGCUUUGAUCACUAUCUAUUCCAUUUGCCAACAAAACAGUGAAGCAAGCGAAUACUUUCGAGAAAUUGGUGGUUUGAUGUUUAUAAAUGACCUUGCCAAGGCGAGUGCUCAUUGCAUCGUAAAGGAAGCAGCUUUAUUUACAUUGGGGAUUAUUAUAGAGAGUGAUGUGUAUUGUCAACAGACUUUGUGUACUUCUGCAUUGUUUGAAGACCUCAUUUUAUUUUUAAUUAAAAAGGAUUCUGGUGUGAACUUGAAAAGAAUGUCUGUUUAUGUCAUCUUAGUACUGGUUUCAAAUAAUAGUAAGUUGGGUUUUUUUCUGUGUUACAUUUCUUUUCUAUUUGCCAAUCUGCAGUCCAAAAUUUGGAACAUUGACUAAGUAAUGUUUUGGUGAAGUUAAUUAAUAAAGAUGAAUGUUUGCAUGUAACUGAACCUGAAUUGUCAAAGUAGGUUAUUGCUCCCUGGGAUUUCCUUGAA